UACGGAGGAUGCGAGCGUUAUCCGGAUUUAUUGGGUUUAAAGGGUGCGCAGGCGGCACGGCAAGCCGGCGGUCAAAUCGCGGGGCUCAACCCCGCCCAGCCGUCGGAACUGCCGGGCUAGAGUGGGCGAGAAGUGCGCGGAAUGCGUGGUGUAGCGGUGAAAUGCAUAGAUAUCACGCAGAACUCCGAUUGCGAAGGCAGCGCACCGGCGCCCUACUGGCGCUCAGGCACGAAAGCGUGGGUAUCGAACAGG
rnacentral:rRNA from 1 species